GUCUGCUGCCUGUGGAUCGGGAUGUAAAGCUCUCGGCUCCUGCACCAACACCAUGCCUGUCUGUUUCUUACCGUGAUGAUAAUGGACCAACCCUUGGAAACUGAUCCUAGGAACCCCAGCCAGCCAUCUCUAAAGCUGGUGCCCAGAGCUCACAGAUGCUGCCCAGGCCAACCUCCUGCCUGCACACAGAACCCCCACUCCGGCCCAGUACCUGCUGUGGACAUUGCCUUGUUCAUCUCCCAUGGUCACUGUCACCGCCCUGACUUUGCUGAGGUCGAAGCUCAUGUCAUGUUGAUGGUAGUCAGGAGUGACCCAGCCCACCCACACGCAGCUGGGCUCCUGACCCGCGAAGACCCUCACAGAGUAAUAGUACUGGGGACAUAAUAAAGAGAGGACCAGAGGUCAGUCGGGAAAAUGGCCUUUCCUACUACAUGAGAGAUCUUCUGAGUCUAAGUGUGUGCUGGUGUGCCUGUUCUUGCUUUCCAAGAUUGGGGAGCCCCCUUUGGGAAUACUUGGUGACACCCUUACACCCGGUCCUUCUUCAAAGGACAGCAAAGCAAUAAAAUAGCUCACAACG
rnacentral:lncRNA from 1 species